rnacentral:pre_miRNA from 1 species
AAUGUACUCCCUCCGUUUAGAAAUACUUGUCGAAGAAAUGGAUGUAUUUAGACGUAUUUUAGUUUUAGAUACAUCCAUUUUUAUUCAUUCCUCCGACAAGUAUUUCCGGACGGAGGGAGUAAUAG